UUCGUAGGGUGCAAGCGUUGUCCGGAAUUCUUGGGCGUAAAGAGCUCGUAGGCGGUUUGUUGCGUCGGCUGUGAAAUCCCGAGGCUCAACCUCGGGUCUGCAGUCGAUACGAGCAAACUAGAGUGUUGCAGGGGAGACUGGAAUUCCUGGUGUAGCGGUGAAAUGCGCAGAUAUCAGGAGGAACACCGGUGGCGAAGGCGGGUCUCUGGGCAACAACUGACGCUGAGGAGCGAAAGCAUGGGGAGCAAACAGG
rnacentral:rRNA from 1 species